AGAGCGAACGCUGGCGGCAGGCUUAACGCAUGCAAGUCGAGCGCCCGUAGCAAUACGGGAGCGGCAGACGGGUGAGUAACACGUGGGAACGUGCCUUUUGGUUCGGAACAACACAGGGAAACUUGUGCUAAUACCGGAUAAGCCCUUACGGGGAAAGAUUUAUCGCCAAAAGAUCGGCCCGCGUCUGAUUAGCUAGUUGGUGGGGUAAUGGCCCACCAAGGCGACGAUCAGUAGCUGGUCUGAGAGGAUGAUCAGCCACAUUGGGACUGAGACACGGCCCAAACUCCUACGGGAGGCAGCAGUGGGGAAUAUUGGACAAUGGGCGCAAGCCUGAUCCAGCCAUGCCGCGUGAGUGAUGAAGGCCCUAGGGUUGUAAAGCUCUUUCGACGGGGAAGAUAAUGACGGUACCCGUAGAAGAAGCCCGGCUAACUCGUGCCAGCAGCCGC
rnacentral:rRNA from 1 species